AGACAUGGGCAGGUGGAUUGGGAUUUUACUUGCAGAGACGGGAUCCUCCACAGACCCGGAGGCUCUGCACUAUGACUACAUUGAUGUGGAGAUGUCUGCAAGUGUCAUUCAGACAGCCAAACAGACCUUCUGGUCCUGCCAGAUGAGCCUGUCAGAGGCAUCCUGCAGUGGCUCUUCCCAGCACAGAAGCAGGAGUGGAGCCCCCCAGGGCCUCUGUUCUGACCCCAUCCUUUGUCCCUGCUGCAGCAGGGCGAGUGCAGGGCAUAUGCUGGAAACUGAAGAUGCAAGCCCGUGAGAGACGUGCCUGCCGCUGGAAGGAGAAAGACCCAAGGCAGUACGGCCCAGGGCACAGGGGAGGGGAUGGUCCCUGUGGCCAGGCUUUAUUCAUUCCUCCAUUUACUGCCUCUCACUGACAAAAAGUAUACAUAGCGCUGUCUCCCUAAAAGCCUUCCAAUGAGGCAUUUAAUUAGAAAACCUUAAAUAUGUAUUUUUUAAAAAUCAAAAUCUUUUACUGUGGAACUCUUAAAUGUUCAAGUUUUGCUGUGC
rnacentral:sRNA from 1 species